rnacentral:rRNA from 1 species
GACAUAGGUCGCAAACGUUAUCCGGAAUUAUUGGGCGUAAAGGAUGCGUAGAUGGUUCAAUAAGUUACUGGUGGGAAAUCGAGGCUCAACCUCGUGGAAGUCAGUAAUACUGUUGAACUUGAGUGCAGGAGAGGUUAACGGAACUUUAUGUGGAGCGGUAAAAUGCGUAGAUAUAUGAAAGAACAUCAAUAUGGCGAAGGCAGUUAACUAUUCUGUUACUGACGUUGAGGCAUGAAAGCGUGGGGAGCGAACAGG